UGGCUCAGGACGAACGCUGGCGGCAGGCCUAACACAUGCAAGUCGAGCGGCAGCGGGAAAGUAGCUUGCUACUUUUGCCGGCGAGCGGCGGACGGGUGAGUAAUGCCUGGGGAUCUGCCCAGUCGAGGGGGAUAACUACUGGAAACGGUAGCUAAUACCGCAUACGCCCUACGGGGGAAAGCAGGGGACCUUCGGGCCUUGCGCGAUUGGAUGAACCCAGGUGGGAUUAGCUAGUUGGUGAGGUAAUGGCUCACCAAGGCGACGAUCCCUAGCUGGUCUGAAAGGAUGAUCUGCCACACUGGAACUGAGAC
rnacentral:rRNA from 1 species